rnacentral:lncRNA from 10 species
GAAGUUCAGGUGGUCUGUACUGGCAUAGGACUCAUGUGAUCAAUUAACCAGUUACAAUCCAGGGCCCCUGAAUGGCCGUUCUCAGGCUGGCCUUGAUCUCAUGACUAGCAGCAGCAGAAGAAAUGCAUCUGACAGGUGUUUUCCGGGAUGCCACUUGGCGUACCUGAAAGACGAAAAAGAUAUGCACUACACAGCCUGGUCACUGCCAUCAUCUGGGAACCAUCGGCCUUACCUAGAUCCUGGCAGAACUCCAACUUCCACCCCACUGCUGGCACCAUUAUUGACUCUGGACUGAGGAUGUGUCAGAACUAUCAUUCCAUCCUGUGGUCUGGUAGAGUAGGAUAAUUUACCUGGACACCCACAUCUCCCUCAGUCAACACGGACUCAGGUUCAAGGCACAUUUUCCUAAAGUUGAACAUAGCAAGGACUAAUGCUUACCAGUCUUGGUUGGCAAAGCAUCGUUUCUUAAUCUACCUGAAUAUCUGAAGUACUCCAGGAGGUGGAGGUUGCAGUGAGCCAAGAUCGUACCACUGCACUCCAGCCUGGGUGACAAAGCGAGACU